GUUACCGCCGCGACGCGGCCCGCGGGCGCCAUCUUGUGGGCAGGCGGCCAUUAGCCGCGGGCGCGCCGGUCACGUCCCCCUUCUCCUGAGGGGGCUCCCGGGCGGCCGGGCCGAUCGGUACGGCCGGCGCUGCGGAGCGCGCGGGCCCCGCCGGUCGGAGCGGCGGCGGCUGCCGGCCCCAGGGUGCCCUGAGGGGGCUCAUGUCGGGGGCGCUGGCGGCUGUUUCCAGCACAGCGCCCAACAGUGACCUGAGUGCACGAGUUGUGGGGGCGUGACGGCUCCGAGGCUUUCAGAAUUCCCUUGUUUCCCCUUUCUCUCCGAGCACUUGAUUUACGGAUGAAAGACUUCGCAACUCAGGGUUGUAAAGCAGAUUGUGGAGUCUGUUUUCCGCAAUUCAGUAGGGACGCAGCGAUGCGUUUGAAGUCCUCUACAUCUGCGCUGAGAUAUGGACCUAACUUGCAAAGCAAAUGUGGAAAAUGUCUGCAAGCAUGGGACUGAAAGAGAUGACACUUGGGGAGGGAAGUCUGUGAGACGGUCAGUUUGCUGCUGCUGCCACUGAUGGGGAGCCUCUUGAGGGUCGUGGUACCAUCUCAGAGCAACGACCCAAGGAGGCAGCUGACUUCUGU